rnacentral:rRNA from 1 species
UACGAAGGGGGCUAGCGUUGCUCGGAAUCACUGGGCGUAAAGCGCACGUAGGCGGAUUUCUAAGUCAGGGGUGAAAUCCUGGAGCUCAACUCCAGAACUGCCUUUGAUACUGGGAAUCUCGAGUCCGGGAGAGGUGAGUGGAACUGCGAGUGUAGAGGUGAAAUUCGUAGAUAUUCGCAAGAACACCAGUGGCGAAGGCGGACUCACUGGCCCGGUACUGGACGCUGAGA